CACGUCAGCUGCCCAGUCAGCAGCCCUGGCCAAUCAGGACGCGCCGCGUGGCAGAGACGCUGAUGUGGGAGGGCACGUGGGCGAUCCGCGUGCGUGCGAUCAAAUGGCUGAGAUCCGUCCCCGCGCGCACGGACGACCCAGAUCAAAAACACGCACGGACAGCCCAGAUUGCACGCACACGGACGGCUCAGAUUGCAUCGCACACGGACGG
rnacentral:lncRNA from 1 species